UUUAAAACUCAAAGAAAUUGACGGGGGCCCGCACAAGCGGUGGAGCAUGUGGUUUAAUUCGAUGCAACGCGAAAAACCUUACCUACCCUUGACAUCCUCGGAACUUGUCAGAGAUGAUUUGGUGCCUUCGGGAACCGAGUGACAGGUGCUGCAUGGCUGUCGUCAGCUCGUGUCGUGAGAUGUUGGGUUAAGUCCCGUAACGAGCGCAACCCUCGUCCUUAGUUGCCAGCGAGUCAAGUCGGGAACUCUAAGGAGACUGCCGGUGAUAAACCGGAGGAAGGUGGGGAUGAUGUCAAGUCAUCAUGGCCCUUACGGGUAGGGCUACACACGUGCUACAAUGGGCAGUACAAAGGGUUGCCAAGCCGCGAGGUGGAGCUAAUCCC
rnacentral:rRNA from 1 species